GAUCCAAAGCUGAUUACAAUAGAAAUCCGAUUUGGGGCUUUAUUUUUAUGGGUUUGUCACUCGACAAAUUUCGUGUUUUCUUCUUUUUUCUAUCCUUUUUUCAGAUCUUUCAUUCUCUAUCUUUCUCUCAAUCUCCAUUUUCUUAUUAAUGGAGAGAAGUUUGAUAUGUAAGCGACAAUGGAAUGAGAUGAGUUUACCUAGGUGUCGGAUUCAAUCAAAGAUCUUCAUCUCACCAUCAACUAUCUCUCCAUCAUCUAUCUCUCAUCUGUGAUUUUUCUCUUUUUUUUUUUUGUUAUGACAUCUGCGUGAGGGAGUCCUCAAUUGUCGGCUCUCUCUCCAUAAUCAUUUUUUUUUGUUUCCCAGGUUCGUAUUUAUGACUGAAAGAUAUCUUCUUGAACUAUGUAGACUCCUACCUCCAAAUGUCAUGACAGAUUAAGAGGGGCUAGAUCACAAGGGUUUUUAUGCUAAUUCCUCCUUAAUGAGGUUUCCAGGUUACGGAUGAACGUGCAUCUUACACGAAAAAAAUGUAUGUCCCUUUUUCUACUGUUCUGUCUCAUGAUUUUUCAUACCCCUUGAUAAUUUCACUAAAUUAAAUUACUUUUAUAUUUGUCAAUAAGUAGAAGUUAUGUUUCAUGUUGAUAGUUAUUGUUUGAUAAUGCCUACAAUAGGCCUAAGAAAGGAUUGUGACAUUUUUUGUUUAAAUAUUCACAAGUAAGAAAAGAAGAAUGUUGAUUUGUUUAGUUUUCUACCAACUAAUAGCAACUACUUUGUUAUUACCUUUUCUGAUGAUUUUCUUGAUAUGAAGAACUCAUUUUGUUCCCUUUGCCUUUUGAUUUUGAAGAAAUCCAUUUCAUUGAUGAAGGUUAGAGAAUAAAUUUCUUCAAAAAAACUAGAGAAUAAAAAUUUCUUAUAAUUUUUAUGGUUAUCAAUGAGCUUUUAUUAUCCAGGAACUCAAGUUAGUCAUCCAAAAAAGGGUAGAAUUGUCAUUUGUCCAAGAACUCAAUUGAGUAAUCUAUACCAUUUGUACCAAUACAAAGUCCAUUGAUGUAAAACAUAUUGGGAAUUGAGAAUAUGUGAUGGGAAAAAGACAAACGCAUCCAACUUUUAUGAAACAGAGAUAGAAUAUUGUUGGUCAGGUGUCCAUACAAAAUUUGAGUGGGUUGUGAAGAAAUGAGUUCAUUGCUAUUACGGACAAUGUCUAUCAUCAUUUACCUUUAAUACCAUUGUACUUAUAUUUUUUUUUUACCCAUGAUAGCAACAUAUUUAAUUUUAUUUAACCAAAAUAGUAAUCAAAACCUUUUUAUCCAUAAUUGCAAAGUAGUUAUAUUUUAUUAUUACAUGUAAAAGGCAUUGUGGUUA